rnacentral:rRNA from 1 species
CCUACGGUGUGCUGCAGUGGGGAAUAUUGCACAAUGGUGGAAACCCUGAUGCAGCGACGCCGCGUGAGUGAAGAAGUAUCUCGGUACGUAAAGCUCUAUCAGCAGGGAAGAAAAUGACGUUACCUGACUAAGAAGCCCCGGCUAACUACGUGCCAGCAGCCGCGGUAAUACGUAGGGGGCAAGCGUUAUCCGGUUUUACUGGGUGUAAAGGUAGCGUAGACGGCAGCACAAGUCUGGAGUGAAAUCCCGGGGCUUAACCCCGGAACUGCUUUGGAAACUGUGCGGCUGGAGUGCAGGAGGGGUAAGCGGAAUGCCUAGUGUAGCGGUGAAAUGCGUAGAUAUUAGGAGGAACACCGGUGGCGAAGGCGGCUUACUGGACUGUAACUGACGUUGAGGCUCGAAAGCGUGGGGAGCAAACAGGAUUAGAUACCCUGGUAGUC